rnacentral:rRNA from 1 species
GUGAACGCUGGCGGUAUGGAUAAGGCAUGCAAGUCUAGGGGGCCGCAAGGUCACCGGCAGACGAGGUAGUAACACGUAGGAACGUCCCCCAGAGUCUGGUAUAGCUCGCCGAAAGGUGAGGUAAUCCCAGAUGGUCUCGUAAGAGUAAAGGAGCAAUUCGCUCUGGGAGCGGCCUGCGUAAUAUCAGCUAGUUGGUGAGGUAAUGGCUCACCAAGGCUAUGACGUUUAGGGGAGCUGAGAGGCUGACCCCCACCGAUGAGACUGAGAACGGCUCAUACCCCUACGGGGGGCCGCAGCCGAGAAUAUUCGACAAUGGACGAAAGUCUGAUCGAGCGAUACCGCGUGGUGGAUGAAGUGCUUCGGCACGUAAACAUCUUUUAUGGAGGAGGAAGUUAUUGACGUUACUCCAUGAAUAAGGGGCUCCUAACUCUGU